GACGAACCGUGCGAACGUUGUUCGGAUUCACUGGGCUUAAAGGGCGCGUAGGCGGACCAUCAAGUCAGGGGUGAAAUCUUUCAGCUUAACUGGAAACGUGCCUCUGAUACUGGUGGUCUCGAGGGAGGCAGGGGCAUGCGGAACUUCCGGUGGAGCGGUGAAAUGCGUAGAUAUCGGGAGGAACACCUGUGGCGAAAGCGGCUCACUGGACCACAACUGACGCUGAGGCGCGAAAGCUAGGGGAGCAAACAGG
rnacentral:rRNA from 1 species